rnacentral:tRNA from 1 species
GCGAGAGUGGCGGAACUGGCAGACGCACUGGACUUAGGAUCCAGCGGGAUUCCGUGCGGGUUCAACUCCCGCCUCUCGCACCA